GCGAGUUUGAUCAUGGCUCAGGACGAACGCUGGCGGCGUGCUUAACACAUGCAAGUCGAGCGGAAAGGCCCUUCGGGGUACUCGAGCGGCGAACGGGUGAGUAACACGUGAGCAACCUGCCCUUAGCUUCGGGAUAGCUCCGGGAAACCGGAAUUAAUACCGGAUAUGACCACGAUCGACAUCGGACGUGGUGGAAAGUUUUUCGGCUAGGGAUGGACUCGCGGCCUAUCAGCUAGUUGGUGAGGUAACGGCCCACCAAGGCGACGACGGGUAGCCGGCCUGAGAGGGCGACCGGCCACACUGGGACUGAGACACGGCCCAGACUCCUACGGGAGGCAGCAGUGGGGAAUAUUGCGCAAUGGGCGAAAGCCUGACGCAGCGACGCCGCGUGGGGGAUGAAGGCCUUCGGGUUGUAAACCCCUUUCAGCAGGGACGAAGCGAAAGUGACGGUACCUGCAGAAGAAGCGCCGGCUAACUACGUGCCAGCAGCCGCGGUAAUAAG
rnacentral:rRNA from 1 species